AGGCGGGACUACCCGCUGAACUUAAGCAUAUCAAUAAGCGGAGGAAAAGAAACUAACAAGGAUUCCCCUAGUAACUGCGAGUGAAGCGGGAAAAGCUCAAAUUUAAAAUCUGGCGGUCUAUGGCCGUCCGAGUUGUAGUCUGGAGAAGUGCUUUCCGCGCUGGACCGUGUAUAAGUCUCUUGGAACAGAGCGUCAUAGAGGGUGAGAAUCCCGUCUUUGACACGGACUACCAGUGCUUUGUGAUGCGCUCUCAAAGAGUCGAGUUGUUUGGGAAUGCAGCUCAAAAUGGGUGGUGAAUUCCAUCUAAAGCUAAAUAUUGGCGAGAGACCGAUAGCGAACAAGUACCGUGAGGGAAAGAUGAAAAGCACUUUGGAAGGAGAGUUAAACAGUACGUGAAAUUGCUGAAAGGGAAACGAUUGAAG
rnacentral:rRNA from 1 species